rfam:Oryza sativa Japonica Group DNA, chromosome 5, cultivar: Nipponbare, complete sequence.
AAAAAGACAAACCCUGGUUUCCGUGCCCAACAUUUGACCGUCCGUCUUAUUUGAAAAAAUUAUGAAAAAAAUUAAAAAGACAAGUCACGCAUAAAAUAUUAAUCAUGUUUUAUCAUCUAACAACAAUGAAAAUACGAAUUAUAAAAAAAUUUCAUAUAAGACGGACAGUCAAAGUUGGACACGCAAACCCAGGGUUUGUCUUUUU